CAGCCGCCGCGGUAAUACGUAGGUGGCAAGCGUUGUCCGGAAUUAUUGGGCGUAAAGGGCUCGCAGGCGGUUUCUUAAGUCUGAUGUGAAAGCCCCCGGCUCAACCGGGGAGGGUCAUUGGAAACUGGGAAACUUGAGUGCAGAAGAGGAGAGUGGAAUUCCACGUGUAGCGGUGAAAUGCGUAGAGAUGUGGAGGAACACCAGUGGCGAAGGCGACUCUUUGGUCUGUAACUGACGCUGAGGAGCGAAAGCGUGGGGAGCGAACAGGAUUAGAGACCCCUGUAGUCCCUGUCUCUUAUAA
rnacentral:rRNA from 1 species